rnacentral:rRNA from 1 species
UACGGAGGAUGCAAGCGUUAUCCGGAUUCAUUGGGUUUAAAGGGUGCGUAGGCGGAUAUGUAAGUCAGCGGUGAAACUCACAGGCUCAACCUGUGCCGUGCCGUUGAAACUGUGUAUCUGGAAUGCGGAUGCUGUGGGAGGAAUGUGUAGUGUAGCGGUGAAAUGCAUAGAUAUUACACAGAACACCGAUUGCGAAGGCAUCUCACAAAGCCGUUAUUGACGCUGAGGCACGAAAGUGUGGGGAUCAAACA